UACGGAGGCUGCAAGCGUUAUUCGGAUUCACUGGGCGUAAAGGGUGCGCAGGCGGCCAAGUGUGUUAGGCGUGAAAGCCUGGGGCUUAACCCCAGAAUUGCACCUAAAACUACAUGGCUAGAGCAUUGGAGAGGGUAGCGGAAUUCACGGUGUAGCAGUGAAAUGCGUAGAUAUCGUGAGGAACACCAGAGGCGAAGGCGGCUGCCUGGACAAUUGCUGACGCUCAGGCACGAAAGCGUGGGGAGCAAAAGGG
rnacentral:rRNA from 1 species